rnacentral:rRNA from 1 species
UAAAAAGCUCGUAGUUGAAAUUGUGUCCUGCGGUGUCGGUCUACCGAAUGCGGUACGACAGGCACGUCUGCGGGGCUUCUCGCCGGUGCGUCCACCGCCGGCGUGUGUCGGUCGGCCUCACGGUCGGCCGCGCACCGAGGCGGGCCGUCGCGGCUGUUUACUUUGAACAAAUUAGAGUGCUCAAAGCGGGCUAACACUUGCCUGAAUAUUGUACGCAUGGAAUAAUAGAAUAGGACCUCGGUUCUGUUUUGUUGGCUUUCUGAUACCAGAGGUAAUGAUUAAUAGGGACGACUGGGGGCAUUCGUAUUGAGACGUUAGAGGUGAAAUUCUUGGAUCGUCGCAAGACGGACUAAAGCGAAAGCAUUUGCCAAAGGUGUUUUCAUUAAUCAAGAACGAAAGUUAGAGGUUCGAAGGCGAUUAGAUACCGCUGUAGUUCUAACCAUAAAUGAUGCCAGCCAGCGAUCCGCCGAAGUUUCAUAAUUUUAACCCGGUGGGCAGCUCCCGGGAAACCAAAGCUUUCGGGCUCCGGGG